AAAGUCGUAACAAGGUUUCCGUAGGUGAACCUGCGGAAGGAUCAUUAAAAAACAAUGUUGUGCGAGGCGGUCCCAGGCAUUGCCAGGUGGCCGCUUAGACAUCAACACCCUUUGUAUAUCUACCAUGUUGCUUUGGUGGGACGGCAGCCAACAGCUCUGCUGGGAACCUGUCCGCACGGCCCUUCAAGGCCCCGCGAGCGCCCGCCAGAGGACCAUCAAACUCAUGUUGAACCGUGAUGUCUGAGCUUUACAAGCAAUAAGUUAAAACUUUCAACAACGGAUCUCUUGGUUCUC
rnacentral:misc_RNA from 1 species